UAGUACCUCUAGCAUAAUUGUUACAUAGUUGAGUUUCUUAAGCAUUUAGUUGAACGUUUGAUUCUUAUACAAUUUAUAUGGAAAAGAAUUUGUUGAAAGAGACCUAACAAUUUAAUUUAAUGUGAUCUGAGAACAUUGAAAAAAUUGUCUUAUGGAUGCCGAUUGUAGGAUACCUGGCUAAAAAAAUUGCCUAUAAGUUCCACCUUCAAUGCAUUAGCAAGAAGACUGUGCCAGAAUAUAUAGUCUCUUCUUCAUCUUUGUCAUAAGAAAGCAAGAUUAACUUGAAUUUGCUACUUUGAUCAUGGCUUUUACAGCAGCAGAACAUGUGCAACGAACUCACGAAGAUCAAAAGUAAGCAAAGGGAGCGGUCCACAAACGAAUAAACGGUCGCUCAGAAACACAACCAGGAUUGUUCAGGUGGAGGAGAUUAAUGUUGUCACAACCUUGAGUGUUGAUGAUGGUGUGAAGAAAAGUGUGGAAGUUGUAGAUGAUAAAGUGGAUCAGAAUCACAAUAUUUGAGUGUGCCUGAAUGCUGUCCUGUGCCAGGAUGGAAUAUCACAGCCAUUUAUGAAAAAAAAAAUCUACAAUCACAUCAUAAUAUGUCUUGAUUAUUCUUGUAUUCAUCUACUAAAUUUUAUUGAUCAAAACAACAGCACCUAUAUACGUCGUCGGAAACCUUAGGUAAUAGGUAGUCGAGAUAGAAUCAACAUUCACACUCAGCCUCUAAAAUAUAAGUGAGCAUAUAUUCCUUUUGUUUUCCAUGUUACUCCUACAGACCGAGACGUUAAUUACAUAAUAAGGUCACUUUAAUUUCUUCA